UACGUAGGGUGCAAGCGUUAAUCGGAAUUACUGGGCGUAAAGCGUGCGCAGGCGGCUUUGCAAGACAGAUGUGAAAUCCCCGGGCUCAACCUGGGAACUGCAUUUGUGACUGCAUGGCUGGAGUGCGGCAGAGGGGGAUGGAAUUCCGCGUGUAGCAGUGAAAUGCGUGAUAUGCGGAGGAACACCGAUGGCGAAGGCAAUCCC
rnacentral:rRNA from 1 species